GAAAGACAGCGAAGGUGAACGCGUGUUCAGACUCUCAUGAGCAAAUCUUGCAGGUGCAAGGAAUCCAGACAGCUAAAAUGGCUAGCGUGUACAAGAAGCAGGAAGCAGGGAGCAAACUGAGACACAAAAUGGUAACCUCACGUUGGUUCUCUUUUCACCAACAGCAACUUGACUCCACUGAAGUCGUUUGAGGUACAAAUCAAACUACUAAUCAGUUCCUGUCACAGGAUUACCAGCUGCUGUCCACUGAGGGGCCGGAUGCGAACAUUUACCAAGAGGAGCCUGAUGGUGAAAGUCAGUGGUACCCCGACACUGAUGACACCCCAAGACAGUAGGAAGUAGCCUGAGACACAGUGCCCCUCUCUCCCUUUCACCAUCAGCUUCCCCCUCCCUUCCCCCCCCUUCUUUUUAUGCUAAGAAAAAGGGAAGUAUGUUGGUAUCAGGAAUUGCCUUUACCUCCAACAGCGACACCGGUUGGUCACUGUUGCCACGGCAACGGCCGUACAUUCCCAGUAUUCCUUUAGUUUAAUUCCCACCUCCAUCUGGGAGUAGUUACCUCACAUUCCAAAUAAAAGGCAGCCCUCUUCUGCCCUCCUUCUCUUCCUCUUCUUUCUCUCGAUCCUUCCCCUUGUCUCGUUCUCCCAUUAAAUCUCUCCACGUGGAACUGUGUUGGUUUGGUGUGCUCUAUCUGGACGGGC
rnacentral:lncRNA from 1 species